rnacentral:rRNA from 1 species
GAUGAACGCUGGCGGCGUGCUUAACACAUGCAAGUCGAACGAUGAAGCCCAGCUUGCUGGGUGGAUUAGUGGCGAACGGGUGAGUAACACGUGAGUAACCUGCCCUUAACUCUGGGAUAAGCCUGGGAAACUGGGUCUAAUACCGGAUAGGAGCGUCCACCGCAUGGUGGGUGUUGGAAAGAUUUAUCGGUUUUGGAUGGACUCGCGGCCUAUCAGCUUGUUGGUGAGGUAAUGGCUCACCAAGGCGACGACGGGUAGCCGGCCUGAGAGGGUGACCGGCCACACUGGGACUGAGACACGGCCCAGACUCCUACGGGAGGCAGCAGUGGGGAAUAUUGCACAAUGGGCGCAAGCCUGAUGCAGCGACGCCGCGUGAGGGGUGACGGCCUUCGGGUUGUAAACCUCUUUCAGUAGGGAAGAAGCGAAAGUGACGGUACCUGCAGAAGAAGCACCGGCUAACUACGUG